CUCCUCCACACUUCCAGAAAGCUUUGAAAACAAACCCUCCAAACCCAUCCCCAAGCCCCGCGUUAGCAUUCGCAAGUCCGUGGAUCUUCUUCAUGCCAGCCAUACCGGGCAGGAACCAUCAGAGAGACACACUGAGGAGGCACUCAGAAAAUUUUGAUAGAAUUGAAUUUACAUAUAGCUGAUAAAGCCUAAAUAGAAAGGUUGAUGUAUUUAGCUUGAAUCCUUCACUUUAGUGGUCUAAUCAACAGAUAAAUGACAAGCAAAGAAUGAAACAAUCCAAAAAUGUUUUUCAAAACAAUUUUGUGAAUUUUAUUUUUACAAAAAUUUUUUAAAUUCAUAUUUUAAAAUGUAUACCAAGGCAAAAAAAUCAUAUAAGCUAUAUCAUAAAUACAAGAGUUUCAAAACAUACAAGAGACAUAUAAUGUAAAAAAAAAUUAUAUAUAUGAAGUCCAAUGUAAUUUAUAAUACAAAAAAAUACAGCAAGGGAAAAUGCUUUAGAAAUGCUCAUCUGCAAACUACAAAACAAAAUCCUCCUCUUGACCGACUGCAUGAACUGCCAUGAAAUUUGCAGCUCCAUCAUACUAGUGGUUGAAAAAUGAAACACCGCCUCAUAACUGGGAAAGGAGCACUUUCAUCCAAAGACGCGAACUCAGAGCAAAAUGAACAUUUCCAAAGCAGCCCUGCCACUUCAGCUGACACACAUUUAUGUGACUGGUAGAGAGAAGGUUGGUUACUUAGUCCUCAAGAAGAAGAAUCUUAAUUUCCCUGGAAAGCCCAUCUGAUAACACCUCUGUUCCUGCAAACUGUAUACUCUCCUAGUCUUCUGCACUAUAUACCU
rnacentral:lncRNA from 1 species